CUCUCCAAUGUACACUUAAUGGAUAUAACGUACUUCCCUUGCACCACCCCCCGCCUCAGCUUCAGCCUUCAAUCCCCCUUCACACGGGUAUAGUGGCUCUGUACUCAUGAGCUCUUUCAUGGCGGUUAAGCUGCUAAAAUGUACUGACAGCUUAAGAAAUGAAUGAGAAUUUUUUUUUCAGCCAUGAAGAAAGGGUAUUUAGUAACCACGCUUCGAUGGCAUCAUGCUUCCAUGAAACGAGUCCGGACACUUCGGUUUAACAAUCAGUAAUAUCACAUUCGGUACAGUAAAUGCUUCCAUAUACGCUUAUAUAAUUCUAUUCCCCCUUGACUAUAAGCUUGCCUUAUUUAUUCCAGGUUACCUGGGCAAUUAAGGUAAGGACUGCUCAGCAGAUACUGAUACCCUGCUGCUAAGGCAUGGCGAAUGGGGACAGAGCAGUGCGCUAACAAAGAGAGAGAGUUAGUCAAACAUUUUGAAGAGGGGUGAAUGGGACUGAAGGUGGAUGGAUGAAUGGAGGCAAAGAGGGAGAGGAAGAAGCAUUCAAUGGUCCAGACUUCUCUCUGCAUUUGUAGAUUUAAGUUUAGGUGUCCGCCUCUAGCCAGCUUCCAGUUAAUCCUCAACAGCUUCUAGUGAUUAGAAGUUAGUCUAUUUAGCAUGCUAUAUCCUUCUUCCAUAGGUUUUAGUUACAAGUUAUACGAUUAGGAUUGCGAGAACAGUAGUGAACUAAACUUCCCAGUAAGAGGUCUUCACACCAGGGAAGUGUUACUUUGCUGCAGCAGCCCUGCCUCGUCAGUCAUUAGGAAGCUGCAGGUUGUCAGAGGCUUCUCUUGCGCGCACACAAGCGCAGACACACACGCGCACACACACAAAACCACAGCACUAAAACUAAAUUAAGAAGCCGAUGAUUAAGACAAGCGUCUACAAGGCCUGUCAUUUCAGCAUCCUUCCAUCAUAACAUUGUGGCACCGAGAAAUUUGCUUGAAAACCCUGGAAAAAAAUGUCUAUGGGAGAGCCUCGUAUUUGAGGCUGUUAAUAUCAAAUAUAGACUGGGAUCUGCCUCGGAUGCAAGAUAGUAUUCCGCAGAGGAAAGGAGCACUGCAGAGACCUUGGUGCUAUCCGCGCAUUCCCGAAACUCUGGCGACUUCAAGCUAAUUUCUGUGGCUAUACUAGAGAGGGAAUCUGCAAAACAACAAGCGUGGUUCUCACUGAAGGAUUGAUUUGAUCGUCUCUGAAAAUGCAGAACAGCCCAUGGGAUCUCUCAUUUCCACCAACCGUGUGGAAGAUGCUUGCAGAGCAGCCCUGAAAACAAAACAACUUAGUUGAAGGCAGUUCGUGCAACAAUUGUGUCAUGGAAUACCUAGCAUUUCUUUAUCUGUAACUAAUUUAUUUAAUUUUGGAUAAUUCAAUAAAUGUCAGCUAUGCCAAGCA